rnacentral:rRNA from 1 species
GACGAACGCUGGCGGCGUGCCUAAUACAUGCAAGUCGAACGCAGUGGGGACGGGUGAGUAACACGUGGGUAACCUCCCAUCAGAGGGGAUAACACUUGGAAACAGGUGCUAAACCGAUACUGAUGGAUGGACUCGCGGGGCAUUAGCUAGUUGGUGAGGUAACGGCUCACCAAGGCCACGAUGCAUAGCCGGCCUGAGAGGGGGAGCGACCACACUGGUACUGAGACAUGGACCAGACUCCUACGGGAGGCAGCAGUGGGGAAUCGUCGGCAAUGGACGAAAGUCUGACAGAGCAAGGCCGCGUGAGUGAAGAAGGUUUUCGGAGCGUAAAGCACUGUUGUUAGGGAAGCGGUAUCUAACCAGAAAGCAACGGCUAACUACGUGCCAGCAGCCGCGGUAAUUC